UGAAUUCAAAAUUAUGGUGAUUAGAUUCAUUACAUAAGACAGUAUAUUAUAGAGUAAGUAUGUGAGCUGACAAAAUAUGGGUGAGCAAUAAUUACGGAUUCGAUUUGAGUUUGGAUUUAGUUUAUUUGGUAUAAGAAAACUUUAAUCAAAGUAAAUCCAAAUUAGUUUGGUUUGGUAUAAUUUUAGUUCGGUUUGGUUUAUGUUCGAUUUAGUCUUAGUUCAGUUUGAUUUGUGUUUAUUUCGAUUUAAUUUUUUUUUGUGUCUAUUCAUUUUAGUCGAGUUGAUUUUUUAGUUGGGUUAUAGUUUAAUUACAAAAUUAUGAUUGAUAAGAAGAUAAACAAAUUACCAUUUGAAAAAUCAUUAUUUUCUUCAUAUUUAAAUAUAAAUCCAAAUAUCACAAUAAAUUAUAAGAUAUAAUCUAAUAAUUUUAUGUUAUUAUAUUCAAAUCUUAUAUAAAUACCAUAGGUAAUUUUCUGUUUUUGAUGUUAAUGCAGGAGAUUCAUACUCUUUUAUUUUAUUUUAGUUGUGUUGAUUCUAUUCAUUUAGAAGUAAAAAUGUAUAAAUCAUAUUUAGUUGUUUAGUUUAAAUAUAUUAAAUCUUAAUAUUAUUACUGUCAUAGUUAAUUAGCCUAACUAAAAACUCAUGUUUAAAAUCAUUUGGUUUGGUUAAAACUGAACCAUUUGGAUUGAUAAAAUCUUGAACCAAAUGGUUUAAACAUAUAAUUUGGUUUGAUAUGGGUCGUGAAUGAAUCGGUUUGAUUUGGUAUGGUUUAGAUUUUUUUCCCACCACUAUAACAAAGAAAUUUUCCAUUUCUCAGCGUCAUUAUCUAUUUUGUAUGUAUUUUUAUUUAUUUCGAAAUAAGGGUAUUUUUCAAA
rnacentral:lncRNA from 1 species